AAAAAAAAAUUAAAAAAUUAAAUUUUAAAUAAGGAAUCCUGUGCGCGCUCGAUGCACUUGCUGAGACAAGCACGUGGAUCUCGGCGAGACCACGGCGAGUUGGGCUGGUUUUUGCGCCGGCGGCGCGUGAAAACCCCAAAGGGAUGUCCCCUCGGGCUACUCUCGGGUGGGAUACCCGAGACGCAGGGUGACGCUCGUAAGAGGGGGUGAAAGGGGGGGGCGUCAGCCUGUUGAGAUGCCUCGAAAAAGGGGGGGGGGGCGAUGCGCUCGCAGGCUGGGUCAGGACGGCCCGUGACACGGCUCGGUGGAGUCUUCGUCCCGUGCUGUCGCGAGAGAGAAUAGCCCUCGGGGUGUUCACUCGUUCCAAAAAUAGUCCCAGGCGAUCACUCAGGAUCUGCCUGGCGACGGAAACUCCGGUGAGUGAAACCCACGACGACAGCACCACACGGAAAGUGAGAGGAGCCGGAAUCACGGGCUGACCUGACCUGCACGGACUGCGAUCAUCGCCAGUGAGGAUGAAUGAGCAAGUUACUCACGCUGUUGGAAGCACGGUGGAUCGCAAGUCUGGAGCGGAGAUGGCAACUCGAAUCGACACUUAGAUCGAGUGCAAAUAGCAAGCACGAAACGAAAAGUAGAUCGUGAUGCUGUGGCGAAGAGCAGGAUCGCAGGGCAACUCGAAUCGACACUUAGAUCGAGUGCGAAGAGCAAGCACGAAGCGAAAGGUAGAUCGUGAUGCUGGGGCGAUGAGCAGGAGCGCCGUGGGCAACUCGAAUCGACACUUAGAUCGAGUGCAAAUAGCAAGCACGAAGCGAAAAGUAGAUCGUGAUGCUGGGGCGAUGAGCAGGAGCGCCGUGGGCAACUCGAAUCGACACUUAGAUCGAGUGCAAAUAGCAAGCACGAAGCGAAAAGUAGAUCGUGAUGCUUGGCGUAAAGCAGGAGCGCCGUGGGCAACUCGAAUCGACACUUAGAAGAUCGAGUGCAAAUAGCAAGCACGAAGCGAAAAGUAGAUCGUGAUGCUUGGCGUAAAGCAGGAGCGCCGUGGGCAACUCGAAUCGACACUUAGAAGAUCGAGUGCAAAUAGCAAGCACGAAGCGAAAAGUAGAUCGUGAUGCUUGGCGAAAGCAGGAGCGCCGUGGGCAACUCGAAUCGACACUUAGAAGAUCGAGUGCAAAUAGCAAGCACGAAACGAAAAGUAGAUCGUGAUGCUUGGCGAAAGCAGGAGCGCCGUGGGCAACUCGAAUCGACACUUAGAAGAUCGAGUGCAAAUAGCAAGCACGAAGCGAAAAGUAGAUCGUGAUGCUUGGCGUAAAGCAGGAGCGGUAAGGGCCUCUCGAAGCGACAGUUAGAUCGAGGGCAAACGUCAGAUAUCGAAGCGAAAAGUAGAUCGAAAUCUGGAUGAGCUCGAUUUUCCUAGGCUCGGCCGUGGGGAUGCCUUCAAAUUCAAAUCGUCCACAAGAAGUGGAGCAUGUCCGCGGCCGAGCCAUCAGCGCUACCUUGCGGAUGCUGCGGGAAGCUGAGUUGGGCGUCGCGGCGCGGCGGCGCAGCGUCGCGGCGCGGGACCAGAGCGGGGAAGGGGGGGGCGGACGGUGCAAGGCGCGGAGGCGCGGGCGCAGCGUAGUCAGUGGCGGAGCAACCGCCGGCGCGAUG
rnacentral:lncRNA from 1 species